rnacentral:tRNA from 1 species
GGGGCAUUAGCUCAGUUGGGAGAGCGCUUGCAUGGCAUGCAAGAAGUCAUCGGUUCAAGUCCGAUAUGCUCCA